CAAGUUGAGGCACGCAGCGUCAUCGCGCGGCGGCAGUUAAGCCUCACUUUGUUUUGUCCGGUAGCAGAAUCCGCCCAAACCCACCCAUGAUCCAAUCGCUUCAUUUCCUUUCGCUUGCGCCUUGCAUACGGAUCUCCACUGCCGCUCUCAGACGCUUGUCUUGCCUGUACUCCUGUCUCUGGCGACCUCCGAGGCGAUUAGGCCCUGAAGAUCUCCAGGAGUCUUUUAGCGAUCUUGUUCUUCAAUGGCAGCUGUUCUGGCUUCCUGUAGGUGUUAUCAACGACAAUUAGAAUCCAUAAAUCAAGGACGAUGCUUGGGAGAUCUCAGUUUUUCAGGAUCAAUUUCCAAUUUGAAAUUUGCCAAGUUCACAACAACAAUAAAUGAAUCCUCAGCAACAAAGAAACUUCCACGGGUCUUAGCAAAAGUGCAACAGGAACAAGCUGAUAAGUUUGGAACUAAUGGAAGGCCGACUAAAAUGGUCUCCAACACUAACAGAAGGGAAACCAAAAUGGUUUCAACUAAGAAUUUGGUGACACAUAAGGACUCUUCUCGUCAAAAAUCAUUGUCAAUGCAUAAUUCAAAUGUGAUGGUUAAUGGUGUUAGUCUGAUUAAGAGGAAUAGUACGGCAACUCUUAGUAAAACUGAAAAGAAAGAUCCAAAAGUGAUCCCUGAUACAGAUGAGCUAAAAGUUUUACCUUCAGAUGAGGGUUUUAGCUGGGCCAAGGAAAACUACAACUCUUUGCAAAGGACUAUUGACAUCUGGUCCUUUGUUGUUUCCUUCCGAUUGCGGGUUCUCUUUGACAAUGAAAAAUGGGCAUACUUUGAGGGAUUUACGGAGGAAAAGCAGAAACUAAGAAGGAAAAAGACUGCUUCAUGGUUGAGAGAACAAGUUCUUCAACUUGGUCCAACUUUUAUAAAACUAGGACAGUUAUCUUCAACAAGAUCCGAUUUAUUCCCAAGAGAGUUUGUAGAUGAACUUGCUAAGUUACAGGAUAGAGUACCUGCAUUUUCACAUGAAAAAGCAAAAGCAUUUGUGCAGAGUGAAUUGGGUUGCCCAAUCGAAGUAUUAUUUAAGGAAUUUGAAGACCGCCCAAUUGCCGCUGCUAGUCUCGGUCAGGUGCAUCGAGCUAUCCUUCAUAGUGGUGAGCAAGUUGUUGUGAAAAUUCAGAGGCCGGGGCUAAAGAAACUUUUCGACAUUGAUCUAAGAAACUUGAAGCUGGUUGCUGAAUAUUUUCAAAGAAGUGAGACGUUUGGAGGUCCUACAAGGGAUUGGAUUGGUAUAUAUGAUGAAUGUGCAAAGAUAUUAUACCAAGAAAUUGACUAUAUCAAUGAAGGAAAGAAUGCUGACAGAUUUUGUCGGGAUUUUAGAAACAUAAAGUGGGUCAGAGUACCUCUUAUCCGUUGGGAUUACACCACUAUGAAAGUUCUGACCAUGGAGUAUGUUCCUGGCACAAAAAUAAAUAACUUGGAACAGAUAGAUGCAAGAGGCUACAGCCGAUCCAUCAUAGCUUCCCGUGCAAUAGAAUCAUACUUGAUUCAGAUUUUAAAGACGGGUUUCUUUCAUGCGGAUCCCCAUCCAGGCAAUCUUGCUAUUGACAAGGAUGUGUCACUUAUCUAUUAUGACUUUGGAAUGAUGGGUGAAAUAAAAUCUUUCACAAGAAAGAGAUUACUUGAUUUGUUUUAUUCAGUGUACGAAAAGGAUGCAAACAAGGUCAUGAAAUCUCUGAUUGAUCUUGAAGCACUACAACCAACAGGAGACUUGUCACCAGUGAGGAGAUCGAUUCAAUUUUUCUUGGAUAAUCUUUUGAGUCAAACACCUGAUCAGCAACAGACUUUGGCAGCGAUUGGCGAGGAUUUGUUUGCAAUAGCAACUGAUCAGCCAUUCCGCUUCCCAUCUACCUUUACGUUUGUAAUAAGAGCAUUUUCAACUCUGGAAGGUAUUGGGUAUACGUUGGAUCCUGACUUUUCCUUUGUGAAGAUUGCUGCUCCAUAUGCUCAGGAACUACUUGACAUACGACAGGAACAACGGGGUGGAGCUGAACUUGUUCAAGAGAUACGUAAACAAGCUAAUGAUGCUCGGGAUUCUACAAUCUCAAUGCCAUACAGGAUACAGAGAAUAGAAGACAUUGUGACCCAACUCGAGUCAGGAGAUCUAAAACUCCGAGUUAGAGUGCUUGAGUCAGAAAGAGCUGCAAGAAAAGCCUCAGUGUUGCAGAUGGCUACCAUUUAUACAGCCGCAAGUGGAACCUUACUGAAUAUUGGAGUCACACUGAGCAGUCUGGGAAACCAACCGAUUGCAAAUGGAUCUUUUAUUGGUGCUGGACAAGGGUCGUCCUCUGCCCAAAUUUGGCGAGUGGGAUGUCAAUGAUCCUGCUUCUGCAGAGGGUUUCACUGUGAUCUUUAACAAAGCUCGAGAUGAGAGGAAAACAAGUGCCAAGACUAACGAACAGAGGAAGUCUAGCAAGGAGGAGAUGGCUUUUAAACAAGGACCUUAUACUUCCAAGGCACAUGCUAAGAAAUGGUUUUGCUGCAUGGCACCGGCAGAACAAUGAGGAAGGAAGCCUGUGACGAUUUGCAGAAGCAGCUGAGUGAAGGCUAAAUGGCAUUUGAACGAAGAAGAAAAACUGGGAUGAAGAAGAAAAUCUGGAUUACAUGUUUGAUAUUUUUGUGUAGUUUUGUUUUCCAUGGUUCAAUCCUUUGUUUCUGUUAAACAAUUUGCACUCAUAUGUAUACAUGUAUGAAUUAAGGGA